CUUGGCACCCAAACUCUACCCAACCCCUGGUCCCGUUACUCCAAAUAUUCUUCCCUGGCAAUUAAUUUCUCUCCCUUGGAAGGAACCUCAGUUGGAAUCAAUAUACUCAAAAAUAGUUUGACAUAGAACUGGGGGCAGUGCUAGCGAUACAAAGGCACCAUAACCACUGUAGUAGGCCUGAGUUGUUAUAGAGCUUAGAGAGCCGCUUUAAAAAUGUC